rnacentral:rRNA from 1 species
AUUGAACGCUGGCGGCAGGCUUAACACAUGCAAGUCGAGCGGGCGAGGUUGCUUCGGUAACUGAGCUAGCGGCGGACGGGUGAGUAAUGCUUAGGAAUCUGCCUAUUAGUGGGGGACAACAUUCCGAAAGGGAUGCUAAUACCGCAUACGUCCUACGGGAGAAAGCAGGGGCUCUGUAUGACCUGGCGCGAAUAGAUGAGCCUAAGUCGGAUUAGCUAGUUGGUGGGGUAAAGGCCUACCAAGGCGACGAUCUGUAGCGGGUCUGAGAGGAUGAUCCGCCACACUGGGACUGAGACACGGCCCAGACUCCUACGGGAGGCAGCAGUGGGGAAUAUUGGACAAUGGGGGGAACCCUGAUCCAGCCAUGCCGCGUGUGUGAAGAAGGCCUUUUGGUUGUAAAGCACUUUAAGUGGGGAGGAGGCUUACCUGGUUAAUACCUGGGCUAAGUGGACGUUACCCACAGAAUAAGCACCGGCUAACUCUGUGCCAGCAGCCGCAGUAA